rnacentral:lncRNA from 1 species
GCUGAAUCUUGGUGAUUACUUCUGUUUGGGUCAGGGGAUUACUGGUCAGCCACAACAAGGUGAGUAAGCCCUGAUUUGGGGGAAUAUGGAGGUAGGUGGGUAAUUAGAUGACAACAAGGAUACAAAGGUUUUACUAGUGUACUUAUGACUACCUUCCCUUUCUUUUGCAUGUGCACAUAUGGUCUUCCCUCAUGUCGUUUAUUCUUGUUUGGGGGUUUGUUAUCCUCUUUCAAAUACUGCAGUUUUUAUUUGGGAAAUUUUCAAACAUAAACAAAAGAGAAUGUUAUAAGAAAGAUACCCCCUGUUCAAUAUUCUCAUCUGACGUAACAAAAAUGAACAUUUUGCUAUUUUGGUUUUGUCUGUUUAUCUAGUCCCCAUUUUUUGUUAUCACUGAAUUUUAUUUAUUUAUUGCAUUACUGAGCUAUAUCCCCAACCUUUUAUAUUUAUUUAUUUUUUUGCAUUUGAGACAGGGUUUUACUGAAUGGCCCAGGCUAGUCUUGGAUUUGUGAUUCUGGUAUUAUGGGGUGCACUACUGAACCAGGUUUUACUAAAAUAUUUGUUUAGUUUUGGGUACUAGGGAUUGAACUCGGGAGUGCUCAACCACUGAGCCACAUAUCCAGCUCUAUUUAUUUAUUUUUUUAAUAUUUAUUUUUUAGUUGUAGAUGGGCAUAAUAUCUUUAUUUCAUUUUUAUGUGGUGCUGAGGUUUGAACCCAGUGCCUCACAUGUGCUAGGCAAGCACUCUACCACUGAACCACAACCCUAGCUCCUUGUUUUUUAUUUUGAGACAGGGUCUCACUAAGUUGCUUAGGGCUUUCUAAGUUCCUGAGACUGGCUUUGAAUUUGCAAUCCUCCUGCCUCAGCC